rnacentral:rRNA from 1 species
GAUGAACGCUGGCGGCGUGCCUAAUACAUGCGAGUCGAGCGAACAGAUGAGGAGCUUGCUCCACUGACGUUAGCGGCGGACGGGUGAGUAACACGUGGAUAACCUACCUAUAAGACUGGGAUAACUUCGGGAAACCGGAGCUAAUACCGGAUAAUAUAUUGAACCGCAUGGUUCAAUAGUGAAAGACGGUUUUGCUGUCACUUAUAGAUGGAUCCGCGCCGCAUUAGCUAGUUGGUAAGGUAACGGCUUACCAAGGCAACGAUGCGUAGCCGACCUGAGAGGGUGAUCGGCCACACUGGAACUGAGACACGGUCCAGACUCCUACGGGAGGCAGCAGUAGGGAAUCUUCCGCAAUGGGCGAAAGCUUGACGGAGCAACGCCGCGUGAGUGAUGAAGGUCUUCGGAUCGUAAAACUCUGUUAUUAGGGAAGAACAAAUGUGUAAGUAACUAUGCACGUCUUGACGGUACCUAAUCAGAAAGCCACGGCUAACUACGUG